CCUACGGGUCGCAGCAGUGGGGAAUAUUGCACAAUGGGCGCAAGCCUGAUGCAGCCAUGCCGCGUGUAUGAAGAAGGCCUUCGGGUUGUAAAGUACUUUCAGCGAGGAGGAAGGCGUUAAGGUUAAUAACCUUAGCGAUUGACGUUACUCGCAGAAGAAGCACCGGCUAACUCCGUGCCAGCAGCCGCGGUAAUACGGAGGGUGCAAGCGUUAAUCGGAAUUACUGGGCGUAAAGCGCACGCAGGCGGUCUGUCAAGUCGGAUGUGAAAGCCCCGGGCUCAACCUGGGAACUGCAUUCGAAACUGGCAGGCUAGAGUCUUGUAGAGGGGGGGUAGAAUUCCGGGUGUAGCGGUGAAAUGCGUAGAGAUCUGGAGGAAUACCGGUGGCGAAGGCGGCCCCCUGGACAAAGACUGACACUCAGGUGCGAGAGCGUGGGGAGCAAACAGGAUUAGAUACCCCUGUAGUC
rnacentral:rRNA from 1 species